rnacentral:rRNA from 1 species
UACAGAGGGUGCGAGCGUUAAUCGGAAUUACUGGGCGUAAAGCGUGCGCAGGCGGUUGUGCAAGACAGAUGUGAAAUCCCCGGGCUCAACCUGGGAACUGCAUUUGUGACUGCACAGCUUGAGUGCGGCAGAGGGGGAUGGAAUUCCGCGUGUAGCAGUGAAAUGCGUAGAUAUGCGGAGGAACACCGAUGGCGAAGGCAAUCCCCUGGGCCUGCACUGGACGCUCAUGCACGAAAGCGUGGGGAGCAAACAGG